AACGAACGCUGGCGGCAGGCCUAACACAUGCAAGUCGAGCGCACCUUCGGGUGAGCGGCGGACGGGUUAGUAACGCGUGGGAACGUGCCCUUUUCUGCGGAAUAGCCACUGGAAACGGUGAGUAAUACCGCAUACGCCCUUCGGGGGAAAGAUUUAUCGGAGAAGGAUCGGCCCGCGUUAGAUUAGGUAGUUGGUGGGGUAAUGGCCUACCAAGCCUACGAUCUAUAGCUGGUUUGAGAGGAUGAUCAGCAACACUGGGACUGAGACACGGCCCAGACUCCUACGGGAGGCAGCAGUGGGGAAUCUUAGACAAUGGGGGCAACCCUGAUCUAGCCAUGCCGCGUGAGUGAUGAAGGCCUUAGGGUCGUAAAGCUCUUUCGCUGGGGAUGAUAAUGACAGUACCCAGUAAAGAAACCCCGGCUAACUCCGUGCCAGCCGCCGCCGUAACAC
rnacentral:rRNA from 1 species